GACCAGGCCCUGCGCAACAAGAGGCUGUGAACCCCGCCAGGCCCGGAAGGGAGCAACGGUAAGCGGAUGCUCAGUGUGCCGCAGGUAAACUUGGUCCUU
rnacentral:SRP_RNA from 1 species